CGUCGGGUUACUUUUGCACAUGCAAGCGCAGUAUCUUAAGUUUUGUGUGCUUGUGAACUAGGAACUACGAGGUCCAGUUUGCUGGACAGUUUCGGCCUAAUAACCAAAGAUGAUGUGUGGCUAGAAAUGACAUGAUGUCUCGUUUAGCAUAGCUGUUGUUCUGAACUGUAACCUACACCAGAGCGUUGUGUGCAGAUAAUUGACGGGAAGGAUCUCCUGAUGGGAAGGACAGACACUGACAAUCAUCAUGUGAAGAAGGCUGUUACUACAGUUGAAGCGCCAAGCAAGAUUCCGUAAUGGGAAAUCUGCAAGUUCUAAACCAUCUCUGAUUUGAGUAGGUCAAGCAAUUGAAUGAUUGGAAAUAUGUAACUACAUCUCGGACUAAUCAACCAUUUGAAAGACAUUAUGUGCUCGGGGAG